AUUGAACGCUGGCGGAAUGCUUUACACAUGCAAGUCGAACGGCAGCACGGGGCAACCUGGUGGCGAGUGGCGAACGGGUGAGUAAUACCAUCGGAACGUGCCCAAUCGUGGGGGAUAACGUAGCGAAAGUUACGCUAAUACCGCAUACGAUCUACGGAUGAAAGCGGGGGAUCGCAAGACCUCGCGCGAAUGGAGCGGCCGAUGUCAGAUUAGGUAGUUGGUGGGGUAAAGGCUCACCAAGCCAACGAUCUGUAGCUGGUCUGAGAGGACGACCAGCCACACUGGAACUGAGACACGGUCCAGACUCCUACGGGAGGCAGCAGUGGGGAAUUUUGGACAAUGGGCGCAAGCCUGAUCCAGCCAUUCCGCGUGCAGGAUGAAGGCCUUCGGGUUGUAAACUGCUUUUGUACGGAACGAAACGGUCUGCCCUAAUACGGCGGGCUAAUGACGGUACCGUAAGAAUAAGCACCGGCUAACUACGUG
rnacentral:rRNA from 1 species